UACGGAGGGGGCAAGCGUUGUUCGGAAUUACUGGGCGUAAAGGGCUCGUAGGCGGCCAACUAAGUCGGAUGUGAAAUCCCCAGGCUCAACCUGGGAACUGCAUCCGAUACUGGAUGGCUUGAAUUCGGGAGAGGGAUGCAGAAUUCCAGGUGUAGCGGUGAAAUGCGUAGAUAUCUGGAGGAAUACCGGUGGCGAAGGCGGCAUCCUGGACCGACAUUGACGCUGAGGAGCGAAAGCUAGGGGAGCAAACGGGAUUAGAAACCCCCGUAGUCC
rnacentral:rRNA from 1 species